AGGGCGAGGGCGGUGACCCCGGGGCCAGAAUUCUCGCAGGCGCCUGGGCCGGGUGCCCGGCCGUGCCAUCCUGUCCGGGGUCCCCGGCCCAUGUGGCCUUUCUUCCAGCGACAGUACACUUAGCUCAGAACGGAUUGACACCCACUCUGUGUUUCCACCGGGCGCGCAGGCUCUGCAAUGCGGAGCGCGUUCUCUGAAGGACAGGCCCCGGAGUCACGGCUACAGCCACAGAAAGCGGAAACCGAGCUGCAGUCCAGAGGGGAUCCCCGUACAUUUCCAGCGGGCUCAGACACAGGGUCCCCCACAAGAAAGAAACAGGACAGAAAAAGUCAGGACACGUAUGCUGUGGAGAGUCGAGGUCUCGCCUAGAUCUUGGGUGUGGGUAGACGCAGCCGCUGGCAGUUUUCCUUUCCAGCGUCUCUGGGGAGCCUGGAGAUGUCCUUGGUGCCGAUGUGACACGAAGAGUGAUUGCGCCGCCCUGCAGAGGCGGUGGCGGGACGCUGCGCUCGGGCUGGGAAAGGCCGGCCCCAGGGCGACCCCUCCGGAGGCCCCCGGAGAGCAGGUGUGCACCUCGCCUCCCGCUGGGCAGCCAGUUCAGGAGAAAAAUGUGAAGCUUUUAGCUAAACAAAAUAUUUCUUUCGUUAAGGGCUUUCUCCACACGGAGACUUUCUAGCCACGUGAGACUUUGACCUCCCAGUCCCCCAGAUUCAGCGCUGGGACCGAGCGUCUGCUGUUAUUUUUAGUAGAAGUAUAAAAAGAAUCUCGAAAAGUUUUAGCUCUGGAGAAGGCGUGAAUACAGCUGGUGCCUUCAUACACUCCACUUGAGCCGCUCUUUAAGAACUCCAGGAGAUCAGAAAGCAAUACGAAAGCCAGAGCAUUGCACAUGGGAUGGGCUGGCGGGUGGCCUUUGGGUCCCUAUCUUAUGGACGAUUUUUGUAAAUGGGGCAUUGGAGAUGAGUAUCACCUGGAUCACAUUUUUAGGUUGAAUUCCUCCGUGGGGGGAACUUUAGCAAUACGCAUCCAAAUAAGAAUGUAGAUUGCAAUAAUUGUAGUAAAGUGUUUGCCAGACUCAUCUCAGAAAAAGACAUUAUCAAAAGGCAUUUAUUAUCUUCCUAAUGCGUGUCUGGCACUGGGCAGACACUGUAGAAUACUAUCUUGAUUAGAGUCUCAAGGAUUUUGUACUUAAAGUCCUUUACAAAUAAAAGUAUUCAAGUAUAAUCUAUUAUAAAGACUCUUUUCUCCACUUUGGGGAUAUACGGUGUGGCAUCGAUUCAUUGGUCAUACCAAAACUGUUACUUCUGUUUUGGAGGAAUUAACAAGGAAAACCCAGGCUUAGUAAAUCAACAUCGAAGUUCAGAAGUUCAGAGUAAUUUGUCUUGGGAACAAAGUCCUCCCUAGAGCGAAGAGGCAUUCACAGGAGCUCUUGGUGUUAAUGGGAUUAUUCAAGAUAUACCUGAGACCAGAUAAAUAUUUGAUGAUUUUGCCAAGCACUAGGGUUUCUUUGCAGUUUGUCUUUGGCUGACGUUUUCCCCCCGUGGGGUUUGGACUUUG
rnacentral:lncRNA from 1 species